GAUGAACGCUGGCGGCGUGCCUAAUACAUGCAAGUCGAGCGAACAGACGAGGAGCUUGCUCCUCUGACGUUAGCGGCGGACGGGUGAGUAACACGUGGAUAACCUACCUAUAAGACUGGGAUAACUUCGGGAAACCGGAGCUAAUACCGGAUAAUAUAUUGAACCGCAUGGAUCAAUAGUGAAAGACGGCUUUGCUGUCACUUAUAGAUGGAUCCGCGCCGCAUUAGCUAGUUGGUAAGGUAACGGCUUACCAAGGCAACGAUGCGUAGCCGACCUGAGAGGGUGAUGGGCCACACUGGAACUGGGACACGGUCCAGACUCCUACGGGAGGCGGCAGUAGGGAAUCUUCGGCAAUGGGCGAAAGCCUGACGGAGCACCGCGGCGUGAGUGAUGAAGGUCUUCGGAUCGUAAAACUCUGUUAUUAGGGAAGAACAAAUGUGUAAGUAAAUAUGCACGUCUUGACGGUACCUAAUCAGAAAGCCACGGCUAACUACGUG
rnacentral:rRNA from 1 species